GGCCCAGCUCCAGCCCCAGGUCGACCAGGGUCCCUCAGAAGCCAUUUCACAAAGCCGUCAGCGUCUCCAUGCCUGCACUCGUGGAGCUGUAUGCAAACAUUGGUUCCCUCGGACCUCCCUGGAAAAAGGAGAGACUAAUGAGCACAGAGAAACAGAGCCUUUGAAACCAGAGACUCACUCUGGAGUCUGAGUUAUGUAACCCUGAGCAAGACAUUGACAUGAGGAACUAAAAGGUGUUUAUGUCAUUAGAGACCGAGUUCCAGCCAGGCGAUGGAGGACAGACAUUUUUCUCCUCACGUAAGUGAACCUGCCGGCCAGUGAAUCAAGCUUACUGUCUUUAGUCUCACAGAAGAGGGGACUCAGUAGAGAGAAACAUGGUCAAGAGUGGAGCCAGAACAUGGCUGAGCUAGUGGACUGCAGAUGUAUACCUCAGGGACGGAGUCUGCAUUGCAGAUCCUCUUCUGUGGACCAUGUUCUGUCUGGAGCUGCCUCCUGGUCACUGGGCUAAGAAAACACAGCACGUCCACCUGGCCGGUCUCCUAGACCGAAGGUUUCCAGGACACCCGUCCAGGCAGAAGCUGAAGAGGAGAGGAGAAGCCUGUGUGUCCCAGGAACAGAAGGGGAGCAGGAAGCUAAACUGGAAGGCGCAAUGAAAGAGCAGCUAAGAGUCCCAGUGAUGCUGG